GGAUGGUCUGGAUCUCCAGACCUCGUGAUUCCCCCGCCUCGGCCUCCCAAAGUGCUGGGAUUACAGGCGUGAGCCACCGUGCCUGGCCGGUUUCCUCAUUUGUAAAAUACCUAUAGAGUUUUGUGAAUAUGUAAUGAGGCAGUACCUAUAUAGUGCUUGGUGCACUUCCAAGCAGGUAGUAAUUACCUGCUAAGUCAUAAGAAAAAUAAGUCCAAAUAGACAAACUCAUGUCUGUUUGAUUUUAAAGCCAUGCUCAUUCCUUUACAUCACAUUUCUAAAAUAAUCCUAUUACCACCUUAUUAGACAAAACACUGAUUUUGAUUUUACUCCUGGGUCCACGUGGCAUUAAAUAAGACACAUUGUGAUACAUAUGUAUAAAACCUGAGGGUUAGAAAAUAUUUUCCAGCUCUCUAUUUACAAAUAUUUUAUUUAUUUAGAAAUAGUCGCUUAAAAUAUGUCUUAAGAAUUUGCACAAUUAGAAGUGAAGUUCCUGACUUAUCAGGACAUAAAACUUGUAGUCAACUAUUUUCAAUAACCAGCAAGUAAAUGAUUUGUCACUAGAUGGCACUGUAUUGGAUAAUAUUUUUAAAAACCUUUUUUAGCACAAUGAGAUCCAACUUGAUUUGUCAAAUUAAAAGAAUAUUUUCUUAGUCACAGGAUGAGAUAGGAGGUCGGCACAGGAUACAGGUCACAAAGACCCUGCUGAUAACACAGGAUGCCAUAAAGAAGCCGGCCAAAACUCACCAAAACCAAGAUGGCAAUGAAAGAGACCUCUGGUCGUCCCCGCUGCUCAUUAUACACUAAUUAUAAUAUAUUAGCAUGCUAAAAGGCGCUCCUGCCAGCGCCAUGACAGUUUACAAAUCCCAAGGCAAUGUCCGGAAGUUACCCUAUAUGGUCUAAAAAGGGGAGGAACUCUCAGUUCCGGGAAAUCUCCACCCCUUUCCUGGAAAACUCAUGAAUAAUCCACCCCUUGUUUAGCAUAUAAUCCAGAAAUAACUGCAAGGAUACUCAGUCAAGCAGACCAGGCCGCUGCUCUGCCUAUGGAGUAGCCGUUCUUUAUUCCUUUUCUUUUUUUGAAACUUGCUUUCACUUUAAAAAAGGAAUAUUUUCUUUCCAAAGGAGAGGGUCUCCCUCACAAAUAUUGAGCCUAUUGGUCAACAAGGGCUCCGGGCCCACCACCAGAUGCGUGGCAGGAGACAAGGAAGUGACAUUCAAGAAAUAGUUCCUUAUUAACCAAGCUGCCAUGUCAUAAGGACACUCAACCCUGUGAAGAGUCCCACAUAGAGGAGGAAUUGAGGCCUCCCACCAACAACCAACACCAACUUGCCAGCCAUUUGAGUACACCAUCUUGGAAGAGGAUCCUCCAGCCCCAGUAAAGCCUUAAGAUGACUGAAGACUGGCUAACAUCUAUUUAAAAAUUAUUAUUUAUUUUUUUAAUAGAGAUGGGGUCUCGCUAUGUUGCCCAAGCUGGUCUCAAACUCCUAGGCUCGAGCAAUCCUCCUGCCUCAGCCUCCCAAAGUGCUGGAACUAGAGGCAUGAGCCUCCAUGCCCAGCCCUGACUAACAUCUUGACUUCACUGCAAGAGACCCCAAGCCUGAACACUGUUAAUGUGAUCCCAAAUCUCUGACGUACAAAAAUUGUUAGAGAUAAUAAAUGUUGAUUGAUGUUUUAAGCCAAUAAAUUUGGGGAUAAUUUGUUACACUGCAAUAGAUUAGUAGUUCAGAAGGCCUCUGCUGCCAGUGUGACAAAUCCAAAUGCUUUCUUUGGGCACUCGAGGUUGUCCAAUAACUGCUCUUACUUUAUCUUUGGGUACAGAAACACCAUCUGAGCCAGUUAUUUCACUGACCUCACACGACAUGUGAAACUCUGCCUCUACUUUAGCCCAUGCCAUUGUCACACAGAAUGUCCUUUUUGGUCCUCUCCACUAAACUAAAUUCAACACUUUCUUCUAGGCUCAAUUCAAGGAAGUGAAUUAAAUACCUACACAGGAAUUUUUUAUAGUUUUUAAUGUACAUAAAUAAACAUGUCUGAUUUCCAAAACUAUGUUUUAGUUAUUUAAGAUAGAAAUUAUGACUUAUGCUACCCUCAC
rnacentral:lncRNA from 10 species